GCAGAUGUGGCGAAACGGUAGACGCGUACCGUUCAGGACGGUAUGGGCUUUACAGCUCUUGGAGGUUCAAAUCCUCCCAUCUGCA
rnacentral:tRNA from 2 species